GGAAAGCUUUGUACACACUCUAAUUGCAUAAUUAAAACGAGCUGUUGGGAGAUAGAUGGCAUGGAGAUGGCUGGGGCGAGGGACGCGUCCUUGCUCCUCUUGCAGCAGCAUCCUAAUUAAGAGGGAGCAGUAAAGUGGCUCCUUUUGGGGCUGAGUGUAGCAAAUUCUUGGAAUCCUGCACUUCCAGCCCAAAUCCAGGCUGUGGAUCCUGCCAAUAGUAGAGGGACUUCUUUGCUUUGUUUGUUUGUUGUGUUGUUCUUUCUUCUUACACCUUCUUUUUCCCACACCACUGCUCUUUCCCGUUCCCCACAAACCCACUCGAUGGAUUUAACACAGCACAUUUCUCCACUAACCCUCUGAUCUGUGCUGAGAAAACACGAUGAAGUCAUUGCGAGUCCCGAAAACAGGAAGGAGUCCGCCCUCCUUGCAGCACUCGGAGGGAGCUCUGCAGCCAGGAGGAGGCCCAAAGCACAAGUGUCUGUGGGCAAAACCUGACUCCUGCAAUCUGCCCGCAUGGAUUGGGCUGUUGAGCUCAGUUUUCAGCGGCAAGCUGAGGAUUGCCAUCCCUGCUUUCAUGAAGACCACAUUACACACCUUGCAGCUGGCUCUGUGGGAUGACCCACCUGCACAAAACCCCUCUGAAAGGGAAACACGUCACCCAGAGCUGUCCCACCUGCAGAGCUCUGGGUCCUGGCCAGGCACUGUGUUCCCUUGGGGGGUUUUGCAUGGCUGAGGAUGAGACUCUCCGUUGCAAGGAGUGACACGG
ensembl:lncRNA